GUAGCAUGCCUGUAGUCUCAGCUACUCAGGAGACUGAGGUGAGGGAUUGCUUGGGCCUAGAAGUUCUGGGCUAUGGUGCACUAUGUGGAUCAGGUGGCUGCACUAAGUUCAGCACCAACGUGGUGACCUCCCAGGAGCAGAAGACCACCAGGCUGCCUAAGGCCAGGUGAACCACCCUAAGUCACAAAUGCAGCAGGUCAAAACUCCCAUGCUAAUCAGUGGUGGAAUCACGUGUCUAAAUAGUCUCUGUACUCCAGCCUGGGCAACACAGCAAGACCCUAUCUCCU
ensembl:misc_RNA Metazoa_SRP Metazoan signal recognition particle RNA